ensembl:snRNA U2 U2 spliceosomal RNA
AUCGCUUCUCGGCCUUUUGGCUAAGAUCAAGUGUAGUAUCUGUUCUUAUCACAAAGCAGAGAAAGACCCAUUUCACAUUCAUUUCAAUUUGAAUUUUUCUAUAGACUACUG